UACGUAGGGUGCGAGCGUUAAUCGGAAUUACUGGGCGUAAAGCGUGCGCAGGCGGUUCGCCAAGUCAGGUGUGAAAUCCCCGGGCUUAACCUGGGAAUUGCGCUUGAAACUAGCGGGCUUGAGUGCGGCAGAGGGGGGUGGGAAUUCCGAGUGGUAGAGGUGAAAUUCGUAGAUAUUCGGAGGAACACCAGUGGCGGAAGGCGGCUCACUGGUCCAUUACUGACGCUGAGGUGCGAAAGCGUGGGGAGCGAACCGG
rnacentral:rRNA from 1 species